rnacentral:rRNA from 1 species
AAGCUCGUAGUUGAAUUUCGGGGUUAGUAGGUUGGUCAUGCCUCUGGUAUGUACUGGUCUCACUGAUUCCUCCUUCCUUAUGAACCGUAAUGCCAUUAAUUUGGGUGUUGCGGGGGAAUUUGGACUGUUACUUUGAAAAAAUUGAGUGUUUAAAGCAAGCUAACGCUUGAAUACAUUAGCAUGGAAUAAUGAAAUAGGACGUUCGAUCUUAUUUGUUGUUUCUAGGAUUGACGUAAUGAUUAAUAGGGAUAGUUGGG